GUGAAGUACCGGCCGACGGCGGGUCGUCCCAGGCAGCCUCCUAGACGGGAUGGGGGUGAGGUCGGGAAGGAUUACUGAUAAAGAGAGGAGAUUCAUUAAUGCAAUGCCGAGGCGCGCUGCAUUUGAGUCGGGAGAACUUGGCGAGGUACAACCAGCCGGCCGCCUUCCCCUGACAGGGUGUCCAAAGGGCGGCGGCCUCUUUAAGAGCCCAGCGCCCCGCCUCCGGCUCGUCGCCGACCUCCUCCCGUCUCCUCCCAGUCGCUCGGCCAGUUCCAGAGCUCCCUCGGCGAUGAGGUCAUCUCGCAGCUUCCGAUUGGCUGCUCCCGGCCGUCAGUCACAGGAAGUCCCGCCGCCGUCCUCGCUUUCCUAAAAUCUCUCCGGGCUCGCCCGCCCCGGAGUUCGCCGGGCCAGGCCUCGAUGGGGGCCGUGAUUGGUCGGCGCCGCUGUCGCUCCUCCAGCAGGGCGGUGCAAGCGGCAGGAGGCGGGUGUGGUGGGCGGGCCCACAGCUUCCGCGGCUGAGAGGAGCCGGCGGCGGCCGUGUCUGAGGUGGACGCGGCGACUGCAAGCCUGCCCGUUCCAUCCUCUCAGCUCCCCGGCUCCGCUCGCCACACACCCGUCCGUGCGCGACGACUUCUCGCCUGCACCGCGCGCUGUGCGGCCGGCCGGCGAGCCACGGGGGAAGACGCGCGUCCGCAGAGCCGCUGAGGGGACCGCUGCGGAGCCCGGGCCGGGAGCAGCGCGAGGCGUUUUCUGAAGUUGCUAUUGAUCCAGUCAGAGGCCAGAGAGGAAACUAGCGGUCUGAAAGAGACUCCUGGACCGUUUGGGAAGUGGUGACUUGCCGCACUGAAGCCGAUGUAGGGUUGCCAUCACGAAAGCCAAAGUGGAUUUCUCCAGUGUAGUGUGCCUGCCCCCUUCCGUCAUUGCUGUGAAUGGGCUCGACGGAGGAGGGGCUGGUGAAAAUGAUGAUGAACCAGUUCUUGUGUCCCUGUCUGCGGCCCCC